rnacentral:tRNA from 1 species
AUUUAAAUAGCUUAAUUAAAUAGAGCAUAACGUUGAAGGUGUUAAGGUGGUACUCGUACUUUUAAAUA